rnacentral:ncRNA from 1 species
GCCCUUGCUCAUGCUAGUUAGAACAAGGUCAGUCAUAGAAACUGUAAGAAAAUGCUGUUGGCCGGACUGCCCUUUCUGCUGGAAUAGCCUCCACUGAAAAUAGUACUACUACUACUACUACUUAAAAAAAACAAACCAACAAAACUCAGCACUUUAGAGUGCACUCAUUGAGCAGUUUGAUACAUUUUUCUGAAGAACUCAAAGUGUCCAAAGCUGGCUGGCCAAAGCUACACUCCAGCUAGGAGUAACAGAAUAGGACUUAGGCUCCUUUUUGUUGUUUUUUGGAAGCAGGGCCAUGAUUAAGAGCAAUGGCUGGGGACAUUCAUUUUGUGCCACUUGAACUGGAAUUCUUGGGCUAGAGUAAGAUGAACUAAAGCAAAAGCACUUGCCAAUAAUGUUUUCAAUAUUCAAGAACAAAAGCUGGAGGCUUGUGGCCAACUCACUAUCCAGUGGCAUUACACCCAUCACCCACCAGGCAACUCGCAGGACACCCAGGCUUUUGCGUUUUAGGGGGAGUAUGGGCAUUACCAGAAGUAGAGUUUGAGACUAAAUUUGAUUCAAUGUUGUAAAUCUUGCCUGUUCAGUCAUGGACAGGAUUGAAGGAAUAUAAGCUUUUUCUUGAUUUCUUGGGUGGUGGUGCAUGCUUAUUCUUAGCUGAUGGAGCAAUUAGUCUGGUUAAUUUUCCUAUUGCAUUUGAUAUCAGAAGAGAUGUAUAGAGGAAGCCCCCAACCAAGACCCACCAGGAGGAGAAGACAGUUUAAUAAUACGUAUAUGGCCAGACACAUGGGCUGAAGACCAGCCCUAGUACAGACCAGUUAGAUGUAAACACUCUAAGCUAUUAAGAGUUCUUCAUUUUGAAUUAUGAAUUAUCUCAUAACUGAGAGCAGAGACCUCUCAAAUGCAGCUUUUCAGCACUUAGACUUCAUAGAAUCAUAGAAUCAUAG